rnacentral:rRNA from 1 species
UACGGGGGGGCAAGCGUUGUUCGGAAUUACUGGGCGUAAAGGGUUCGUAGGUGGCCCGCUAAGUCACACGUGAAAUCCCUCAGCUUAACUGGGGAACUGCGUGUGAGACUGGCAGGCUUGAGUGCAGGAGAGGAACGCGGAAUUCCAGGUGUAGCGGUGAAAUGCGUAGAUAUCUGGAGGAACACCGGUGGCGAAGGCGGCGUUUCUGGACUGUAUCUGACACUGAGGAACGAAAGCCAGGGGAGCAAACGGG